AUGAAGUGGCCGAAGUUUGUAAUCGCAAAACGACAAGAGCAGCAGCAUUUGGAACCGACACUUCUCUGCUGCAUUUUCAAAUGCAAUGUUGCCGAGGUAACUUCUCUGCUGCAUUUUCUAUAUUGGUUGAGUUUAUUGUUCAUAUCAUAUUUUUCGUUAUUUGUUAAUUGCACUGCAUCUGCUCAAAGGACCAGUCAGCAGUUGUAA